AUUGAACGCUGGCGGCAGGCCUAACACAUGCAAGUCGAACGAGUGGCGGACGGGUGAGCAAUGUCUGGGAAACUGCCCGAUGGAGGGGGAUAACUACCCGAAACGGUAGCUAAUACCGCAUACCAUCGGAUGUGCCCAGAUGGGCUUAGCGAGUAGGGUGGGUAACGUCGGACCUAGGCGACGAUCCCGAGCUGGUCUGAGAGGAUGACCAGCCACCCUGGAACGGAGACACGGUCCAGACUCCUACGGGAGGCAGCAGUGGGGAAUAUUGCGCAGUGGGCGCAAGCCGGAUGCAGCCAUGCCGCGGGGAUGAAGAGGGCCUUCGGGUUGUACAGUACUUUCAGCGAGGAGGCGUUACUCGCAGAAGAAGCACCGGCUAACUCCGUGCCAGCAGCCGCGGUAAUAC
rnacentral:rRNA from 1 species